UACGUAGGUGGCGAGCGUUGUCCGGAUUUACUGGGCGUAAAGAGCGCGCAGGCGGCUGGUCAAGUCCGAUGUGAAAGCUCCCGGCUUAACUGGGAAAUUGCAUCGGAAACUGAUCGGCUGGAAGGUGGGAGAGGGUAGCGGAAUUCCCGGUGUGGUGGUGAAAUGCGCAGAUAUCAGGAGGAACACCAAUGGCGAAGGCAGCACUCUGGGACGUGACUGACGCUGAGACGCGAAAGCGUGGGGAGCAAACAGG
rnacentral:rRNA from 1 species